GCCAUCCACCCACCUUGGUCUCCCAAAAUGCUGGGAUUACAGGAGUGAGCUACCACGCCCGGCCUUGUAUUUCGCUUCUCUUAAAAGGAGAUAGAGGGGAAAUUAAAAGAGCCAAAUGCUGUGUCUUAGGAGAUACACCAUGUAUUCGGAGAAUGCCAUCUUAUGGUCUCAAUAACUUACCUUUUAAUUGGGAAGACAGACAAAAACAGAGGAAGAGGAAGAGAAAGGAGGAAAGAAGGAAGAAAGGAAGGGAGG
rnacentral:lncRNA from 1 species